GCCGUUUUAGCUCAGUCUGGCAGAGCACCGGACUUUUAAUCCGGGGGCCGUGGGUUCAAUCCCCACAGGCGGCACCA
rnacentral:tRNA from 1 species